CUGGACACUUGGACAUCCACUAAGUAAGGCGUGGCCAGACACCCGCCUUGAACAAGCACAGUGCGAGGGAACAUCCAUGGUGUUAAAAGCUGAUACGAUUAUCCAAGAUUCACCGGAAUGGAAACCAUUCUACAACCGGGGAAGAGCGCAGUCCAGUUUGAUUUUACUUCAUGCUGACCGAAGCUUCAAUUGCGGAAACCGAGGAAGUAUACAGCAAAUUCCGAUGGCUAAUGAUCGAAAUCCAACUAAGAAACUGCAUUUGAGAACCUUUAUCGAAAAUCCUGAUGUUCCACGCUUGCCCGCCGGAGUCCUUUUCGAAAAAUUUGGCAACUGUGGCACGCGGUGCUGGUUUGUUGAUCAAGACGGUCAAAAACUUCGGCAUCAUGCGUAACAUGCCGUGGAUUUGUGCUUGGUGCCGUUUCCAAUCGAAGAACAAUCACCGUGACCGUCACCAAGGACGAGUGGUGAAUUAUUAUGGCCAACGCAAGGCUGUGUUGCUCAAAAGGGGGACCGACACUCAACGGUUUUCAGUUACGAGCUAACGACGCUGCCAUCAGCGAUUUCAAGGGGCCAACAAAUAAUCAUCGAAGGUGCAUGUGCAAGGACAUUUGGUGAUGGUAACAUUUUCAUUGAGCUGUAUGCUUCAGAUGAGUGCAUAAGCGGUGGUAAGCGAACACCCAUUCGUUUUAAGACGCUCUCAGAGGCCGGAUACCUUCACUUACCACCAGAUGUCGAUCGGAAAAAUGUAGUUAUUAACCACCUUUAAUCUAAUGGAGAAAGGAGACUAGCUGUUUCUGAGCAACAAUAAGUUCAACAUCGAGCCGAAGAUUCCAUACCUGCCAGAGUAGUGAGAUUGGCAGCAGUACAUCCAAUGAAUUUUCUGGAUAUAUCCCAAGAGUUAAACUACGGAACAGGAUUUAGCAGCCGACUCUAUGCAUAAGCUGCAUAAGCGUUCUAAAUGAUACAUCGCAAGCGCUAAUGAUAAGUGCAGAUAACAAUCGUACGGGUGCUGAAAAUAAGCUAUCCAGAUAUGGAACUACACCGCAACACGGGUGAUAGACUAC